rnacentral:tRNA from 1 species
GUAAAUAUAGUUUAAAAAAAAUAAUGAUUUGUGGAAUCAUAGAUUCAUAUAUGAUAUUUACC